rnacentral:rRNA from 1 species
GGCGCUAAUCCCCGAUAGGUGAGAUUGCCUGGAACGGGUUCUCAUCUAAAAGGCGUAUGAACCAUGCUUUCAUACGUCGCUCAAGGAUGGGGCCGCGGCCGAUCAGGUUGUUGGUGAGGCAACGGCUCACCAAGCCUAUAACCGGUACGGGCCGUGAAAGCGGAAGCCCGGAGAUGGGCACUGAGACAAGGGCCCAGGCCCUACGGGGCGCAGCAGUUGCGAAAACUCCGCAAUGCGCGAAAGCGUGACGGGGCCACCCCGAGUGCCGUCCGCUGAGGAUGGCUUUUCCACGGUGUAAGGAGCCGUGGGAAUAAGGAGAGGGCAAGACUGGUGUCAGCCGCCGCGGUAAUACCAGCUCUUCGAGUGGUGGGGACGAUUAUUGGGCUUAAAGCGUUCGUAGCCGGCCUGACAAGUCUUCCGUUAAAUCCAGCGAUCUAAUUGUUGGGCUCCGGGAGAUACUGUUGGGCUAGGGGGCGGGAGAAGCCGACGGUAUUCUCGGGGUAGGGGUGAAAUCCUGUAAUCCCGGGAGGACCACCAGUGGCGAAGGCGGUCGGCUAGAACGCGCCCGACGGUGAGGGACGAAAGCUGGGGGAGCAAACCGGAUUAGAUACCCCGGAUAGUCCCAGCUGUAAACGAUGCGGGCUAAGUGUCGGGGCGGCC